GUUUUCCCAGUAAAAUAAAUUUUAUAUGAAAGACACAGGUUAUAUGAAAGUCAGGCCCCUGUGAAAGGAUGACACACAAAUUCAUGAAGCGUUCCAUAUUUUU
ensembl:snRNA U6 U6 spliceosomal RNA